GCCCAGAGGAAUUUGUCAUGAGGCAAGACAUAGUAGACAACAUGUAUGCACUUUUGGAAAGCUUGGAUCCAAAAGAGCAGCAAGUAAUAUAUUUUAGGUUUGGUCUCGAAACUCAUCAACGCAAGUCACUCGAGGAGAUUGGAAGGCUCUAUGGAGUUAGUAAAGAAUGGAUUAGGAGAAUAGAACGACGAGCUCUCACCAAAUUAAGAAGCGCGGAUUAUUUCCAACAUAUAACUCAUUACUCUCUGUAGUUCUAGACACUGCCUAAAACUUUUUGUUUACUAGCUCGUAAACCUGAUCGAUCUCAUUGUAA
rnacentral:misc_RNA from 1 species